rnacentral:rRNA from 1 species
GACGAACUGUCCAAACGUUGUUCGGAAUCACUGGGCUUAAAGGGCGCGUAGGCGGCCUUGAAAGUCGGGGGUGAAAUCCCACGGCCUAACCGUGGAAGUGCCUCCGAUACUGCAAGGCUCGAGGGAGGCAGGGGCAGCUGGAACUUCCGGUGGAGCGGUGAAAUGCGUUGAUAUCGGAAGGAACGCCGGUGGCGAAAGCGAGCUGCUGGACCUCUGCUGACGCUGAGGCGCGAAAUCCAGGGGAGCAAACGGG